CUGGUCUCUAUAGUAUAGGUCUACCAGUAUUUUAUUUACAAUUUAUUUACAAUUGUUAAAUAUAAAAUGCUUACAAUUUAAAAUGUUAGAUAUUUAUUCGUUAAGACUGACAUUCCAUUUAUACAUGUUAGAGAGAUAUUCAAGGCUUUAGAAUGUUGGCUGACGUUCUAGAAACGUCGUGGGCUGGUCCUCUACAGACGUUGCUAGUUGGUCCCAUGGGGAACGUUGUAGGGACGUGAUCCCAUGGUCUCUACCCAGCGUACACAAGUAUGUUGUGAGGACGUCGCCAGUUGGUCGUCAUUUGGUCAGCGUGACAUUAUUUGACAACGUCGUGAGGACGUCGUGCUAACGUUCCAUUUUUCAGAAUUUUGGCUAACGUACCAGAAACGUCCUGUGCACGUCCUCAAAAGACGUUGCUAGUUAGUCGCAUGGGAACGUUGUAGCGACGUGGUCAGCUGGUCUCCAGAUAACUUUUCCUAUUAUUGCACUACAUGUAUUUGGCCUAUCUUUUUAAGGUGUAUACCAUUUGGAUAGCCUAUAAUAAGGGAAAUAUACUGAAUUAAUCAAGCAUUUUGCAUGAUGGCAUGAAUUGUUAUAGAAAUAUAAUAAUUAUGCCGUCAUUUAAAAUGUAGAUAUAUAUUUGUUAUCAAAUUAAUGACAAAACAAAAACCAAAUAGUUUGUUAGCGAAUAUAAAUAAUUUAUGCUUGUGAAUGACAGAAGAAAUGUAUUGAAAAACGGCAUGGGACAAGUGAACAUUUAAACCAGCGCACGUCACUUUUUGAGUACUGCUUAAGUGCGCAUGCCCGUCACUUGAACGGUCAACUUCCAGCAGACGGACACGAAGGAAAAGGUCCUGACUGCCAAUGAACCAGGCAAUGAUUCACAGGUGGAGAGACAGUCUGGGCAGCACCAAGCCUACAACUAUUAUGAUUAGUAGUAGGGAUGAUUAUCGAGAACAGAAAUAACUGCAUAUCAUCCAAACCAUCUCCAAAUGAAUGGCUGCAAGGAUCCAGGAUCAAGAGAUAAUCCAUCACGAAAACUGUUUCAUAGGAAUCAGCGAAUCCUGGGCCUGCCUGACCAUUCUGUUACCCUGGAUGUGAAGACACACUGGAAGUUCAUAUCUCAUGGUUGAAAGAGUUGUGCAUCGAUAUCCAGACAUACAAGCAGUCUUCCUGGACCCACACGACAAAAUGCUUAGGAGGAGAGGCAGGAUUUUUUUGAGACUAUGGAGGAUAGCUGGAUCUUGGUCUACCUGGGGGAUCUGGGGCCAUGGCCUUGUAUUCAAAGGAAAGGUGAAAAAUGAGGAAGUCUGGGAACAACUGAAGAAGGCAGCCAUGAGGGAGGGAAGUAAUCAUCAGAAUGUGCCAGAGAACGAUAUUGGCAGUACAGACUCAAGAUGGCGAAGAGGAGGAAGAACAUGUUUGACAUCAGAGUACUCGGGUACUAUGAUCCUUUGGUAAUGACAAUAUUGUUUAGGUUUUGCUUUUGAUAGUGAAGCAGUAUUGAAGUAUAUCACCAUCGGAUAUUUGUAGCAGGUGUUUCAUACACAGGACACUCAGGAAACAAAUUAACUUAAAGUAAUAAAGAAGUCACUACUGCACCAGAUUAUAGGGAGUUGUCAAUGAGUACUGAUAAUUAUUGAUAAUUUUACAGAUAAAAUUAACUAUAUCCAUCAGUAAUAAGAAACUUUUAAGUAAAAUUAAAACAAUUCAGUAAAAUUUACAUGAUUUAUGUAUUGAUGUGUUCAAUUAUCUGUGCUCAUGACUUGGUAACACUUUGCAUGGUUAAAGAAUAGGUGUAAUGUUCAAAAUGUAUUGGCUUAGUGUUUGUAGAAAUAACACUGAAUAAAUGCUUAUUAAUAAAUGAAUGCACUGUUUUUGCUCAUUUAAUGUUUAGAAUGUAAUGUUUUUGUAAUGGUUUGCAUGUAUGUAUUGAAUAUAUUCACUAAAAUCUCCUAUAACGAUUAAAAAACAUUAGAAUUAAGUGUUUUAUUUUCUUAUAGCAGAAAAUGUUUGAGUUUGUCAUUUAUAUACCGAUUUAAAGGUGGUAGGAGCACAUCCUCUGGACCAGACUAAAGGUGAGAAGUAAACAUUUAAAAUAUAAGGAACGUGGUAGUUUGGUCGUUAGGACGUAUUUGUCACG